ACAACAACAUUCGGACCGUCGGUCUACCGAGCAAUAUCACCCGCUCGGUGGAAGAUCUUCCCUCCGUCGUAUAUC
rnacentral:pre_miRNA from 1 species